rfam:Robinsoniella sp. RHS robin_c28, whole genome shotgun sequence.
AAGUACAAAGAUAAAAACACAGUCCGGUUGGUAGUCCGGGCGCAGAAUAAAGAAUUCUGUCAGUAACCUGCCUCCUUUGGUUGUCCGUUCUUUGUUCAGCUAAA